rnacentral:rRNA from 1 species
GUCGAACGAAGCAGGGGGGCGGAAUCUCUCCGGAGGGGAAGCCCCCCUGACUGAGUGGCGGACGGGUGAGUAACGCGUGGACAACCUACCCCGCACUGGGGGACAACAGCCGGAAACGGCUGCUAAUACCGCAUAUGCGCACGGCCCCGCAUGGGGCCGCGCGGAAAGCGCAUGCGGUGCGGGAUGGGUCCGCGUCUGAUUAGCUUGUUGGCGGGGUAACGGCCCACCAAGGCGACGAUCAGUAGCCGGCCUGAGAGGGUGGACGGCCACAUUGGGACUGAGACACGGCCCAGACUCCUAAUGGAGGCAACAGUGGGGG